rnacentral:rRNA from 1 species
AUUGAACGCUGGCGGCAGGCCUAACACAUGCAAGUCGAACGGUAACAGGAAGAAGCUUGCUUCUUUGCUGACGAGUGGCGGACGGGUGAGUAAUGUCUGGGAAACUGCCUGAUGGAGGGGGAUAACUACUGGAAACGGUAGCUAAUACCGCAUAACGUCGCAAGACCAAAAAGGGGGACCUUCGGGCCUCUUGCCAUCGGAUGUGCCCAGAUGGGAUUAGCUAGUAGGUGGGGUAACGGCUCACCUAGGCGACGAUCCCUAGCUGGUCUGAGAGGAUGACCAGCCACACUGGAACUGAGACACGGUCCAGACUCCUACGGGAGGCAGCAGUGGGGAAUAUUGCACAAUGGGCGAAAGCCUGAUGCAGCCAUGCCGCGUGUAUGAAGAAGGCCUUCGGGUUGUAAAGUACUUUCAGCGGGGAGGAAGGGAGUAAAGUUAAUACCUUUGCUCAUUGACGUUACCCGAAGAAGAAGCACCGGCUAACUCCGUG